rnacentral:rRNA from 1 species
ACGGAAGGCAGCGGUGGGGAAUAUUGGACAAUGGGCGCAAGCCUGAUCCAGCGACGCCGCGUGAGUGAAGAAGUAUUUCGGUAUGUAAAGCUCUAUCAGCAGGGAAGAUAAUGACGGUACCUGACUAAGAAGCCCCGGCUAACUACGUGCCAGCAGCCGCGGUAAUACGUAGGGGGCAAGCGUUAUCCGGAUUUACUGGGUGUAAAGGGAGCGUAGACGGUAUGGCAAGUCUGAUGUGAAAACCCAGGGCUCAACCCUGGGACUGCAUUGGAAACUGUCGAACUAGAGUGCAGUAGAGGUAAGCGGAAUUCCUAGUGUAGCGGUGAAAUGCGUAGAUAUUAGGAGGAACACCAGUGGCGAAGGCGGCUUACUGGACUGUAACUGACGUUGAGGCUCGAAAGCGUGGGGAGCAAACAGGAUUAGAUACCCUGGUA